UACGUAGGGUCCGAGCGUUUGUCCGGAAUUAUUGGGCGUAAAGAGCUCGUAGGCGGUCUGUUGCGUCGGUUGUGAAAACCUGGGGCUCAACUCCAGGCCUGCAAUCGAUACGGGCAGACUAGAGUUCGGUAGGGGAGACUGGAAUUCCUGGUGUAGCGGUGAAAUGCGCAGAUAUCAGGAGGAACACCGAUGGCGAAGGCAGUGAUCUGGGCCGGUACUGACGCUGAGGAGCGAAAGCGUGGGUAGCAAACAGG
rnacentral:rRNA from 1 species